rnacentral:lncRNA from 1 species
AUUACCCAAGUCACCUUAGAGAAUAUGGCAUGAAGUCAACUCUUUUAAUGAAAGUAAUGAGUUCCAGGAUUCUCUUGUGACCUCUGAGGUUCAAAUCCUGUUGUGAUGACGGUGAGAGUUAAAAUGGAUUCUAGGCCAUCAUGGUAGUGAGAGCUCAGAAGCACAAGCCCAGAUCUGAUGGUCUUUCUUUACAGAACAGGGUUCUGAGCCCAUGGACACCUUUCAGAAUGCAGGGCUACUUGUUACCCAUUGUGGUGAGUUUUAUAUUUUCCCAUAUUGUGUUUAUGCAAAAAAAAAAAAGAUAGGAAAAUUAGGUCACAAGUUAAUUGAUUCUGCAUAUGUGAACAUAUUAAACACACUGGUGAUUAAUAAUGCAUCUGAGUUAAGGAAAGAAUCAAUAGUCUUUCCCUCAGAGUUAAUUUAACUAAGUGUGAGUCCAAAGUUGAAUUCUCUACUUUCUCUUAUCUGAGCCUUCCAUCCUGCGUGUCUAUUCAGUUAAUUUAAAUCUGUAACAUGCUGAAUACUGCCUUGUGCAUCUCUCUCUACAUGUGUGUCUGCCUUCUGUCUCCCUGUUUGUGUCUAUCUGUGUACUCUGUAUGUAUGUCUGUUGGCUUUUGUAUCUCCAUUGCUGGUCUUAAGAAAGACCUUUGCAAUAUUUUUGGGAACACCAAGAAAACCCCAUUACAUGGAGAAGGAAUGGUAUAGUAUACAGAAAUCUUUAACAGAGUUUUAAAAAGGAUGAGGUAACUGGCUCCAAGUGAUCAAGACAACAAGCAUUUACAGACAUCACUGUUUAUCAAUCAGUACACAUAAUAGUAUAUUCAUUUUAGAAGGUUGCACUGAGCCUCUGCAUUUCAUGCUUUCAACAAAUGACACUCAGGCAGUUCUGGACAUGACUUGAAAAAGUACAUAAAUUACCAUUGUAUCAAUAAAUUAUUAUUGUACCAAUGCAUCACGUUAGGUUUUAAAAGUUGAUCACAAGAGAAAUACAAGGAAAGAAUAAUGUUUGUUUUUACAUUGUUCUUUGAAAAAGAAAGCUAAACCAUAAAUUUGAAUACACAGUAGGACUGCAGUUUUAAAUUUUAAAUUUCUUCAAGUUGCAUUAACUCUGGUUGUAAGGUCCAAGAAAAGUCACCAUCUAUUAGAAGGUAAGAACUUUUGUAUACUGCAUUGCCACACUUGUGGUUCUGCCAAUGCAUAGGAAAGCCCCAUGGUACAAAACUCCAUGGAGUUCGGCUGGCUGUAUUCUUAGUAAGAUGUUUGGAUUUUUUUUUUUUUAAAGAACCAGCUUAUAAGUGUAUGAAGGUGAUUAUAAUUAAGUCUCUGAAUUCUGAAAGAGAUGGAGUUCCAGUUGAUCUUGUCUUUUCCACUGUGUUUUAUCAACUGAGUUGUUCUACAAAGUGGUUUCAUAAAAAUAAACGAACACUGCAGGGCACCGACAACAAAAGGUGUUGCUUUUUACAAACUGACAAUAAGUCUUCAUUGCUAACGAGCAGACUUGCACAACUCACUGUGUAUAAAGAGGUCAAGCUGGUGCCUCCAAGAACAUUGGCUCCUACGUUCCACAGUCCUCGUUAUGGGAAGGGCUUUGCAAGCUACAAAAAGUGAAAUACAUACACAGAACCAACCAAAAAGACAUUGAUCUAAAAUUUGUCCUUCCUCCAAAAUAUGCUAGGUCAAUGAUGUCAUGAAUUUAUUGUGAAUAACCAAUCAAUAUCUAAUUUGACUUAAAUACCCAAAGCACCCUUGUGAAAAGUUUUACAUAUAUAUGUGUGUGUAUGUGUGUUUGUGCAUAUAUAUGUGUGUGCAUAUAUAUGUAUAUAUAUAUAUAUGUAUAUAUAUAUGCAUAUUGCAUAUGGAUGUGAGUGUAGUGGGAGUACUUGUGGACACACCAGUGUUAUAAAUAAUGAGAAGGAGGUUUUUAUAUAGUUUAAACCAUAAGCCUUUCACUGAAGCAGUCUACCACCGAUCAUUUAAAUUUCAGACUAUUCAAGCCUAUGACCUCAUGUGUAGCUUGCUCUUUACCUCUCUGCCCCUGUUCCCAUUUAUCUGUUCUCUUCUCUUUCUCCCACUUAAUCUCUUCCACCUGCUUUCUCUUCCCUACAUCACUUUUUCCAUCCAGAAAUUCCACCCUCCAAUUCUUAUCCCAGGAAUUGGAUGUUAGGUUUUUUUCUUUCAAGC